rnacentral:rRNA from 1 species
GAUGAACGCUGGCGGCGUGCCUAAUACAUGCAAGUCGAGCGAACGGACGAGAAGCUUGCUUCUCUGAUGUUAGCGGCGGACGGGUGAGUAACACGUGGAUAACCUACCUAUAAGACUGGGAUAACUUCGGGAAACCGGAGCUAAUACCGGAUAAUAUUUUGAACCGCAGGGUUCAAAAGUGAAAGACGGUCUUGCUGUCACUUAUAGAUGGAUCCGCGCUGCAUUAGCUAGUUGGUAAGGUAACGGCUUACCAAGGCAACGAUGCAUAGCCGACCUGAGAGGGUGAGCGGCCACACUGGAACUGUGACACGGUCCAGCCUCCUACGGGAGGCAGCAGUAGGGAAUCUUCCGCAAUGGGCGAAAGCCUGACGGAGCAACGCCGCGUGAGUGAUGAAGGUCUUCGGAUCGUAAAACUCUGUUAUUAGGGAAGAACAUAUGUGUAAGUAACUGUGCACAUCUUGACGGUACCUAAUCAGAAAGCCACGGCUAACUACGUG